UCUGUUGGUUCAUAACUGCAAAUAAAGCUGUCUCUCUGUCCCCCAUGUGUCCACCUUUCAACUCUCAAAUAUAUGGUGCCAUAUAAGGGACCACACUACAAAUUUCUUGUGGAAAUCUUCAAGAAAAUUCACAUAGUUCUUUCAUGUGAUAAAGAUGUACCUUUUCCCCCCGAAAGAGAUGCAAUUAUUUGGCACAAAAACAUGUACCUUUUACCCUUCGCGAGAUGCAAA
rnacentral:lncRNA from 1 species